rnacentral:rRNA from 1 species
UACGAAGGGUGCAAACGUUGCUCGGAAUUACUGGGCGUAAAGCGUGCGCAGGCGGCUUUGCAAGACAGAUGUGAAAUCCCCGGGCUUAACCUGGGAACUGCAUUUGUGACUGCAUGGCUAGAGUGCGGCAGAGGGGAUGGAAUUCCGCGUGUAGCAGUGAAAUGCGUAGAUAUGCGGAGGAACACCGAUGGCGAAGGCAAUCCCCUGGGCCUGCACUGACGCUCAUGCACGAAAGCGUGGGGAGCAACAGG